rnacentral:rRNA from 1 species
GAUGAACGCUAGCGGCAGGCUUAACACAUGCAAGUCGAGGGGCAGCAUAAUGGAUAGCACUAUCUAUGGUUGCGACCGGCGCACGGGUGCGUAACGCGUAUGCAACCUACCUUUAACAGGGGGAUAACACUGAGAAAUUGGUACUAAUACCCCAUAAUAUCAUAGAAGGCAUCUUUUAUGGUUGAAAAUUCCGAUGGUUAGAUAUGGGCAUGCGUUGUAUUAGCUAGUUGGUGGGGUAACGGCUCACCAAGGCGACGAUACAUAGGGGGACUGAGAGGUUAACCCCCCACACUGGUACUGAGACACGGACCAGACUCCUACGGGAGGCAGCAGUAAGGAAUAUUGGUCAAUGGACGCAAGUCUGAACCAGCCAUGCCGCGUGCAGGAUGACGGCUCUAUGAGUUGUAAACUGCUUUUGUACGAGGGUAAACGCAGAUACGUGUAUCUGUCUGAAAGUAUCGUACGAAUAAGGAUCGGCUAACUCCGUG